CCUACGGGAGGCAGCAGUAGGGAAUAUUGCUCAAUGGGCGAAACCCUGACCCAGCAACGCCGCGUGAAGGAUGAAGGUUUUCGGAUUGUAAACUCCUUUUGUUAGAGACGAAAAUGACGGUAUCUCACGAAUAAGCACCGGCUACCUCCGUGCCAGCAGCCGCGGUAAUACGGAGGGUGCAAGCGUUACUCGGAAGCACUGGGCGUAAAGAGCGCGUAGGCGGGAUAGCAAGUCAGAUGUGAAAUCCUAUGGCUUAACCAUAGAACUGCGUUUGAAACUGUUAUUCUAGAGUAUGGGAGAGGUAGGUGGAAUUCUGGGUGUAGGGGUAAAAUCCGUAGAGAUCAAGAGGAAUACUCAUUGCGAAGGCGACCUGCUAGAACAUAACUGACGCUGAGGCGCGAAAGCGUGGGGAGCAAACAGGAUUAGAUACCCGGGUAGUC
rnacentral:rRNA from 1 species